rnacentral:rRNA from 1 species
GAUGAACGCUGACAGAAUGCUUAACACAUGCAAGUCGAUGGGGAAGUGGUGCUUGCACCAUGGUAACCAUGGCGGACGGGUGAGUAACGCGUAAGGAACUUGCCUGCGGGACCGGGAUAACAGCAGGAAACUGCUGACAAGACCGGAUAAGGUCAUGAAGCUGCAUAGCUUAGUGAUGAAAGGAGACGCCUGCGGAGAGCCUUGCGUCCUAUUAGCUAGUUGGAGGGGUAACGGCCCACCAAGGCGAAGAUAGGUAGCCGGCCUGAGAGGGUGGACGGCCACAAGGGGACUGAGAUACGGCCCUUACUCCUACGGGAGGCAGCAGUGGGGAAUAUUGGACAAUGGGGGCAACCCUGAUCCAGCAAUUCUGUGUGCACGAAGACGGUUUUCGGAUUGUAAAGUGCUUUCAGCAGAGAAGAAGGAAGUGACGGU